rnacentral:pre_miRNA from 1 species
UCUUGUGGGAGAGCAAAGAAAGUGGUUUCUCGAGAUGGAAACUACUCCUGGUGAAGACGCUGUGAA